rnacentral:rRNA from 1 species
UACGAGGGGGGCAAGCGUUGUUCGGAAUUAUUGGGCGUAAAGGGUGCGUAGGCGGUUUGGUAAGUCUUAUGUGAAAUCUACAGGCUCAACUUGUAGUCUGCAUGAGAAACUGCCGGGCUUGAGUAUGGGAGAGGUGAGUGGAAUUCCUGGUGUAGCGGUGAAAUGCGUAGAUAUCAGGAGGAACACCUGUGGCGAAAGCGGCUCACUGGACCAUAACUGACGCUGAGGCACGAAAGCGUGGGGAGCAAACAGG